GACGAACGCUGGCGGCGUGCUUAACACAUGCAAGUCGAACGGAAAGGCCCUGCUUUUGUGGGGUGCUCGAGUGGCGAACGGGUGAGUAACACGUGAGUAACCUGCCCUUGACUUUGGGAUAACUUCAGGAAACUGGGGCUAAUACCGGAUAGGAGCUCCUGCUGCAUGGUGGGGGUUGGAAAGUUUCGGCGGUUGGGGAUGGACUCGCGGCUUAUCAGCUUGUUGGUGGGGUAGUGGCUUACCAAGGCUUUGACGGGUAGCCGGCCUGAGAGGGUGACCGGCCCCAUUGGGCCUGAGAUACGGCCCAGACUCCUACGGGAGGCAGCAGUGGGGAAUAUUGCACAAUGGGCGGAAGCCUGAUGCAGCAACGCCGCGUGCGGGAUGACGGCCUUCGGGUUGUAAACCGCUUUCGCCUGUGACGAAGCGUGAGUGACGGUAAUGGGUAAAGAAGCACCGGCUACCUCCGU
rnacentral:rRNA from 1 species